rnacentral:rRNA from 1 species
GAAUUCACUAGUGAUUGAGUUUGAUCAUGGCUCAGAUUGAACGCUGGCGGCAUGCCUUACACAUGCAAGUCGAACGGCAGCGCGGACUUCGGUCUGGCGGCGAGUGGCGAACGGGUGAGUAAUACAUCGGAACGUACCCUGUAGUGGGGGAUAACUAGUCGAAAGAUUAGCUAAUACCGCAUACGACCUGAGGGUGAAAGUGGGGGACCGCAAGGCCUCACGCAGCAGGAGCGGCCGAUGUCUGAUUAGCUAGUUGGUGGGGUAAAGGCCCACCAAGGCGACGAUCAGUAGCUGGUCUGAGAGGACGAUCAGCCACACUGGGACUGAGACACGGCCCAGACUCCUACGGGAGGCAGCAGUGGGGAAUUUUGGACAAUGGGGGCAACCCUGAUCCAGCAAUGCYGYGUGUGUGUAGAAGGCCUUCGGGUUGUAAAGCACUUUUGUCCGGAAAGAAAUCGCGCUGGUUAAUACCUGGCGUGGAUGACGGUACCGGAAGAAUAAGCACCGGCUAACUACGUGCCAGCAGCCGCGGUAAUACGUAGGGUGCGAGCGUUAAUCGGAAUUACUGGGCGUAAAGCGUGCGCAGGCGGUUUUGUAAGACAGGCGUGAAAUCCCCGGGCUUAACCUGGGAAUUGCGCUUGUGACUGCAAGGCUAGAGUGCGUCAGAGGGGGGUAGAAUU